rnacentral:rRNA from 1 species
GAAGUGUAUGCAUGGGCGCAGCCUGAUGCAGCCAUGCCGCGUGUGUGAUGAAGGCCUUCGGGUUGUAAAGCACUUUCACUGGUGAGGAAGGUCACUAAGUUAAUAGCUUGCUGAAUUGACGUUUGCCACAGAAGAAGCACCGGCUAACUCCGUGCCAGCAGCCGCGGUAAUACGGAGGGUGCAAGCGUUAAUCGGAAUUACUGGGCGUAAAGCGUACGUAGGCGGUGUGUUAAGCAAGAUGUGAAAGCCCCGGGCUCAACCUGGGAAUUGCAUUUUGAACUGGCACGCUAGAGUCCUGAAGAGGGUGGUAGAAUUUCCAGUGUAACGGUGAAAUGCGUAGAUAUUGGAAGGAAUACCAGUGGCGAAGGCGGCCACCUGGUCAGAGACUGACGCUGAGGUACGAAAGCGUGGGGAGCAAACAGGAUUAGAUACCCUGGUAGUCCACGCCGUAAACGAUGUCAACUAGUUGUUCGUGUCACUAAUACGUGAGUAACGCAGCUAACGCACUACGUUGACCGCCUGGGGAGUACGGCCGCAAGGUUAAAACUCAAAUGAAUUGACGGGGGCCCGCACAAGCGGUGGAGCAUGUGGUUUAAUUCGAUGCAACGCGAAGAACCUUACCAUCCCUUGACAUCCUCUGAACUUUCUAGAGAUAGAUUGGUGCCUUCCGGAACACUGAUACAGGUGCUGCAUGGCUGUCGUCAGCUCGUGUUGUGAGAUGUUGGGUUAACUCCCGCAACUAGCGCAACCCUUAUCCUUACUUGCCAGCGAUUCCGUCGGAAACUCUGGAGAGACUGCCGGUGAUAAACCAGAGGAAGGUGGGGACGACGUCUAGUCAUCAUGGCCCUUACAGGAUGGGCUACACACGUGCUACAAUGGCGCGUACAAAGGGCAUCGAACCUGCAAGGGUAAGCGAAUCUCAUACAGCGCGUCUCAGCCGGAUUGGAGUCUGCACUCGACUCCAUGAAUUCGGAAUCGCUAGUAAUCAUGUAUCAGAGUGCCGCGGUGACUACGUUCCCGGGCCUUGUACUCGCAGUCCCUCACACCAUGUGAGUGAGCUGCAUCAGAGUGGUAACCUAAGCUUCGGCAGAACGAUCACUACAGUCUGUUCUCAGGAAUGCAGUGAAGUCUACAAAGAGUAUCCAAA